rnacentral:rRNA from 1 species
UACGGGGGGGGGUAAGCGUUGUUCGGAAUUACUGGGCGUAAAGGGCUCGUAGGCGGCCAACUAAGUCAGACGUGAAAUCCCUCAGCUUAACUUUGGAACUGCGUCGGAUACUGGAUGGCUUGAAUUCGGGAGAGGGAUGCAGAAUUCCAGGUGUAGCGGUGAAAUGCGUAGAUAUCUGGAGGAAUACCGGUGGCGAAGGCGGCAUCCUGGACCGACAUUGACGCUGAGGAGCGAAAGCUAGGGGAGCAAACGGG